rnacentral:rRNA from 1 species
GAUGAACGCUGGCGGCGUGCCUAAUACAUGCAAGUCGAGCGAACAGAUGAGGAGCUUGCUCCUCUGACGUUAGCGGCGGACGGGUGAGUAACACGUGGAUAACCUACCUAUAAGACUGGGAUAACUUCGGGAAACCGGAGCUAAUACCGGAUAAUAUAUUGAACCGCAUGGUUCAAUAGUGAAAGACGGUUUUGCUGUCACUUAUAGAUGGAUCCGCGCCGCAUUAGCUAGUUGGUAAGGUAACGGCUUACCAAGGCGACGAUGCGUAGCCGACCUGAGAGGGGGAUCGGCCACACGGGAACUGAGACACGCUCCAGACUCCUACGGGAGGCAGCAGUAGGGAACCUUCCGCAAUGGGCGAAAGCCUGACGGAGCAACGCCGCGUGAGUGAUGAAGGUCUUCGGAUCGUAAAACUCUGUUAUUAGGGAAGAACAAAUGUGUAAGUAACUAUGCACGUCUUGACGGUACCUAAUCAGAAAGCCACGGCUAACUACGUG